UCAUUGUAAGAAAGCCCAAGAGUAAGCUAUGUGAGGUUGAUGGCGAUGCUUAAAAAGCAAUCGACUUACAAGGGUGUAAAAAUGGGCUCGAUAUUAAAUCGAGAAAAGUGUGAUUUUUAUAGUUUGAAAAAAGAUUUUGAACUAAACUAAAAUACAACAACUAUACAUCAUCAACAAAAUGAACAUAUGAGUGUAAUAAACAUAAAAAGAUAUUAAUCAACAUACUAAAAGAAUAAAAAAUGUUAAAGGAAAAUAAAAUCAAAUAAAAAGCAAAAAAAUUCCACACAUGAGUAUCGAACCCUCUCCAUUUAAUACUAUGAAACUAACCUCUUUCCACUAGACCACUCAACAAUAUUUGCUACUGAUAUACUAUGUUAAAUAUAUGAACCGGGCUAAAAAAAAAGAUUUAAAAUAAAAAAACAAAAUAAACAUUUUUAUGGGUUUUUUAUUAUCUCUGUUAAAAAACAAAAUAAGCUAAAUAAAUAAAAAGUAAAUAAUAAUAAUAAAAGAAAAUAACAGCAUAUACAUUUUUCUGAUUUUUGUGUUAAAAAUGAAAUAAAUUAAAUAAUAAAAGAAUUAAUUAAGAAAGAAAAAAGAAAAUGGAAAUACAGAGGUUCGUCUUCAUCGUCAUCUUCCUCCCCACCUCACGAACUCAACCUUCCCAAACUCACUCCUUCACUCUCUCUUCUCUCGGUAAUGUUCAUCAACACUCACCAAACUUCACAUUUCUCUCAAUGCCACUCUCGUUCUCAACGAACCCCUCUCAAUCACUCUCAGCUCACACAAUAAUUUCAACAACAAGCACAUGAGA
rnacentral:lncRNA from 1 species